rnacentral:rRNA from 1 species
UUCGCCCUUACGGCUACCUUGUUACGACUUCACCCCAGUUAUCGGUCCCGCCUUCGACAGCUCCCUCCCUCAUCACUAUGCACGACUGACCCGUGCCGAUAUUCUUUUAUCGGAUGUAACGGAACUUCGUUCCGUUACCACGCGUCGUGCACACUGAUGAGGGUUGGGUCACUGGCUUCGGGCGUUACCAACUCCCAUGGUGUGACGGGCGGUGUGUACAAGACCCGGGAACGUAUUCACCGCGACAUUCUGAUUCGCGAUUACUAGCGAUUCCAGCUUCAUGUAGUCGAGUUGCAGACUACAAUCCGAACUGGGACGUUGUUUUUGGGAUUCGCUCCCCCUCACAGGCUCGCUUCCCUUUGUUUACGCCAUUGUACCACCCGUGUAGCCCAAAUCAUAAGGGGCAUGAUGAUUUGACGUCAUCCCCACCUUCCUCCGGGUUAUCCCCGGCAGACUCCUCAGAGUGCCCAG